rnacentral:rRNA from 1 species
ACGAACGCUGGCGGCGUGCUUAACACAUGCAAGUCGAACGGAAAGGCCCUGCUUUUGUGGGGUGCUCGAGUGGCGAACGGGUUAGUAACACGUGAUUAACCUGCCCUUGACUUUGGGAUAACUUCAGGAAACUGGGGCUAAUACCGGAUAGGAGCUCCUGCUGCAUGGUGGGGGUUGGAAAGUUUCGGCGGUUGGGGAUGGACUCGCGGCUUAUCAGCUUGUUGGUGGGGUAGUGGAUUACCAAGGCUUUGACGGGUAGCCGGCCUGAGAGGGUGACCGGCCACAUUGGGACUGAGAGACGGCCCAGACUGCUACGGGAGGCAGCAGUGGGGAAUAUUGCACAAUGGGCGGAAGCCUGAUGCAGCAACGCCGCGUGCGGGAUGACGGCCUUCGGGUUGUAAACCGCUUUCGCAUGUGACGAAGAGUGAGUGACGGUAAUGGGUAAAGAAGCACCGGCUAACUACGUG